rnacentral:lncRNA from 1 species
GUGAUGUAUGUACAUCACACUCUGGUUGAACGUUUAUUCAAUGAUGAAAAUGUUCCCUUUCUCCUCUACUUUCGUGCACAGGUUCCGUGGGUUGGCAGACUCCUCAGCACAAGUUACUCAUUGGCAGUGAGAAGAGUUCUGACGUCUGUUUCCCAUAUUCUCUCUAUCGAGAAGAAGCUUCACGGAAACCAAAUUGUCUCUAGAAGAUCCCUUGGUGAGUGUUCUCCAAAAUAUCACAUUACUCAAGGCCACCUAAUGUCUGAACGUGGAACAGUGGACACCCGCUGCCUCAGACUCUGUGAGCCAAAGGGGACCUCAGAGCACAUCCUGGUUGACCAGCUUCUCCCAUCCCCCACACCUGUUUGGAAGUUGGAGAAAUAAGAUAGAGAGGGUUUGGGACUGAAUUGUGUGUCCCCUGCUCCCUUCCCUUCCCCCCAAAAAACAUUUAUGGAAGCCCACGCUGAAGCCCCGCACUUGUGAAUGCAAACUUACUUGGAAAGAGGGUCUUUGCAGAUGUAAGCAAGCUUCAGAUGAGGUCAUUACGGUGGCCCUAAGCCAACACAACUGCUGUCCUUGCUGGAGGAAGAGAGAUUCUGGGAUGGACACACGAGAGGGGAACACUCUGUGACGGCUGGAGGGAGAGAUUGAAAUGCUGCAGCUGCAGGCUGAGGAGCGCCAAGGGCUGCUGGCAACAACGCAGAACCAAGCAGGAGGUGAGGAAGAAUGCUCCCCUACAGGGACAGAGGGGGCCUGACCCUGCCCGAGACCUUGAUGUUGGAUUUCAGCCUCCAGAACUGUGAGACAAUAUGUUUCCGUUGUUUUAAACCACGUGAUUUGCUACGGCCAUCCUAGGAAGUAGAUACAGAGACAGAGGCAAACUGGUUACGGCCAUCCUAGGAAGUGGAUACAGAGACAGAGGCAAACUGCCUAUGAUCACAGGGUGGGUGAGGGAUGAGGACACCUCUGAACACAGCCCCUGUGAUGCCCCCUCCAGAGUCGGGCCCGUUGUCCUGGGCUUCAGUCCUCCAAGGCAUCACACCGAGGUUGUGGGCAUGUGUGUUUUCUUCCAUCUUGUUUUUGUUCCAAAUUUCUAUAAUAAUUUCCCUCAAGUAGACUUUCCCUGUCUCCCCCUUUUUGGUCUCAAUAACUUUGAAACAGGUAAGUUAAAAGAAUAAAACAACACAUACUCAUAUUCUCUUCA